rnacentral:lncRNA from 1 species
CUAUUGUAAUGAAUAUUUUUAAUCAAAUAUUUAUUUUAUGGGCCGGCUUUGUCACAUAUUAAAAAAUGGCUAAAGUGAAAUUGAUAGAGCUUUCUGCCUUGCUUCAGUUUGAAUUAGAGUUACUGGGAGCCCUCAGCCCUUCCUGAAUGCUUUUUCUGCCAUCUUUUGCAGGAAAUGGUGGGUAGAAAUGUCAGCAGAGCUCAGCGAGUAGCAGAAGAUACCAAAGUUUCUGUCUUCUUAAAACUUAUCUGCUUAGGAAAAAGGAGGCAAUUAGGUGGGUUAUUAAAAUGCAAUUUAGAAAUAGAAGCACUCGGUAAAUGUGCCCGUGAAGGUGAUUAAACUGAAGUGAGAACAACAAUUAUACUAAAAUGUGACAAAAUACACUGUGGGCUUUCCUAAUGUUUUUGUAAGCACAAAGUAAGUUCUCAGAGUCACCAUAAAGCUGCCUGUACUACAUGUAUGACGCAUUAUUUUUUAUACAAUAUGUUUCAUUCCUUGAGUUGUAUUAGCCUGAAAACCACUCUGGAAAUAUCUCCUUGUUGUCUGUAAAUGGGUUUGUGCAAUUAUAUAUUUAUUUCCUUUAAGUUUGUAAUCUUUUUCGCUGACAGCCCUUCAAACUCACUUGGGAUCUGGACUGCAGGAACAAAUGAGGACAUUCCUAUACACCAUUCGUGUUUUACAGGCCAGAAAAUAUACUUGUGCAGUGCAGAUGCUUUCUGUGUUGUGCACAGAUGAUCUCUGUAAUGGAAUCGAGAAAAUAGGCAGGUUGUCAGCUCCUUUAGGUUUCCUUGCAUUGAAACUUACAGAGCAGAAUUAAUUUUGGUAUUUUGAGAGUCUGUAUAGAUAGGUCUGUGAACCAAACGCACUCUUGCUUGCAAUAUUUUGUAUGUGUAUGCCUGCAUCUUUCGCUGUGUAACUGGACUGAUUGUCUGCAAUGGGUUUUGUAGGCAUUGUUUGCAACACGGGUGGCUGAUAAAAAUAAUUGUUUCAUUUCAGUGUUCCAGCUCUCUUUCAGAAUUGUGUAUUGAAACUGUAUUCAACUGAAGAAAUGGUAAGUUACCUAGUUUUAGACUCGUAUAUGCAUUCUCUUAUGCCUCUGCACUUCCUUUCAUUUCUAAAUUGUCUUUAAAGUAUUGAAUGCAUUUGAGAGCAGUUUUGUAUGACCAUGUCCAAACAUUUACAUAAAUGCACAAUUUAAACCACGCUUCUGUAAUAGACUGAGAAGUGAGAUUCCCUCGCAACUCAGUGAAGGAAGCCUGAGGAGUGACGACACAAUUGGCAUUCAGUUUGUCUCAGCCAGCUUCACGUUUUUAUUUCUGAAUAUCACCAAGAAAUGCUGCCAUCCUAGCAUGAACAAAGGUAACAGAGUCAUCAGAAGUAUUUUUACAGUAGUAUAGUACAGAGUAUAACUCUUCUAGAGAGCGGGCUGUCCCUCCACCUUCACUAAAAAAUGGUCUCCAUUAUUGAUUAUAGGAAAGCAAAUGAGUGCCUGCAAAUUGAAUCCAUUUCUCUCCAUUCAGCAGUCAGGGGUUUCCAUUUUCUGGUACCACAUCCUGGAAAAAUGAACUGGAAGUGAACAAAUCUCAUGGCCUAAUGCCCUUCAGAUGGGCAUUGGUAUGUGCUAAAGCAGGGCUGAGUACUAACCUAGUACUAACAUAGUAAUAACCCAGUGGUGUGUGAAAAGGCAAGGUCCAGACUCAACUAUGAAUUUAUCAUAAGUGAAGAGGAUGGGCACGGUGAUAGGGACAGGACAGUGUUGUAUAUAGAAAAUUUGGGGACAAAGCUUGGGAGCAUCAGAAAACUCAGUCCACCUGUGUAUAGGUCCUCCAGCUCUGUCUGUCAGAGAGCUCUUUGUGACCUGGGAGAAUUAUGCUUUCUGGACGAAUUCACCUCUGGACUGAAGACAAGCAUAAAAUAUCUCACCCAAGAGACUAAUAGAACCAUAAAGUUAUGAACUACAGAAAAUAGCGUACAUAAUGAAAGAGUCUCAUCAACCGUAACUUCAGCACUUCUUUACAAUAAUGAGCAUAAUAGAGCUUCUGUAUUUUUGAGCGUUGAAAAGCAAUUUUUUAUUUUAAAAAAUAAAAAGGAGAAAUGUUUCUUUUGGAAGACACCUUCUUCUGUGUGUACUCCACUGUUAUCUCUGCUUUAUCUCUUUCCGUUAACUUCUAAAAAUAACAUGCUGUAGGGAAACAUGUCUUGAAAGUAUUGAGGUUUUAUGAUGAAAACUUGCAUAUGCUGUGUAAUGUGCUCUGAAAUCAGCAUUUCAUAGCACUGAUUUCACUUGCAAGUUAUUUUAAACAAGUCGCUUUUUCUCCUUAAUGAGGAUUUCUGCCUUAUUUGAUGAUUAAAUUGAUAGCGUUUAAGGUUUCAGUUCAAAGUUUAUGAACGCAUACAGCUCUUAAUGUUUGGUUCUGCUGUGUUUCCCUCUUCGUGCAAAUUUUAGAUUUCUUUUUGUUGUUUAUUUUGUAUAUACAGACAGCGCACUGAAGCCUUGUCAGUACAGGAAUGUCAUUUUUGCUGCUCUGGCCAACAGGCUUACUAGAGGCGUGGAUUGCAUCAACACAAGUUAUUUUGGUAGCAUUGUUUGCAGGAGUCCCUUCAACAAAAUAAGCACUACCAGAAACAGGCUGUCUCUGCAGAGUAAGAGCAGUGCUGGCAAAGCUCUAGCAUAGAUGCUCUUUCUUUUAGUAAGAUUUUUUCCACACUGCUCACUGAUUCAUUUCUGUGGUGACACAGCUCUGGUUACACCGAGCUGCUGGGAUGUGAUUUGUUGGGGAGAUUUGUGGCAUGUCACGCUUGUUCCUACAUCAAAGUCAACUAAUUUGAACUAGGAAAUGUAUUUCUUUCCUUGCCUGCAAAAUUACGUGCUGCAAUAAUGCUGUCGUAUAUUACAUGUUUAUUUGGUCCACUGGUUUUGCAUGUUGUGGGCAUUUAAAGUUUAGACCCUGUGCUUUCUUCACCUUCGCUUCUAAUAUAACAAUACUUCCUUUGUCAAAUGCUUUGGCAUUUACCAGUGAAGAACACCACCAAGUAUUAGCUAUUGCUGUUUGCUUUUUGUUAGUUGCUUACUAUUUUUGUGCUGGUUUGCCUGUCCAGGUUAGGUGUGUAGCUCAAAAUACUGUGGCUCAAGUUGUGAUGAUUUUAGGUUCUUGUGGUCUUUAUAAUGCAAGAGGAGCAAUGGGCAGAAUCAUCAGUGUAUUGCGACAGUGCAUGUUAGUAUUUUGUAGAGCCCUUCUGCAUAGCCUCCUUCUCACUUGUCCCCAUCUUCUGCUCUUGCUUUUAUUGCUUAUUUCUGUAUAGUUGCUUCUUGCCUGCAACAGGAUUUGCAACAAAGUGACCAGGGAAAGACUUUUAGGGUUUGGUACAUUCCUUGUCUAGAGAUGUAUAGCUGUAUUUAAAGAAAAAGAAAAGCUGCAGUGGGAGACGUUCCAGUUUCGCCCUACACAAAUGAACAACACAGUGGAUACUGGUAACAUCUCCUGGUUUUGGCACUGUGUGCAGCUCGAUUAGAGCAGAGAUGGAAUGAGGGGAACAUAUCCUCACAGAAACCUAACCAAAGCUCUUCCCUUAAGACUCACAUCUGACUUGGAUCAUGUUGUGUGUUUGGAUUAUAACUAAUAGGCUCUAGCUUGAUCUGAUGGCCAAAGCGAAGUCAGCGACUUCCUAACAACUUAUAUCCUCCUAAAUAUGCAUUAUUCCCUUUAUCUUCUCUGUGCUGUAGGAAGUAUUUUGUGUCCUAAAAAUUAUUGAUGUUAUCUUAAUGGUUGUCUGUCUUGGUUGUGUAAAGAAGCUGAUAGACUUAAAUCUCACUGUGCAUCUCCUAAAGGAGAUAAAUCUGCUCUGAGAAAUGAGAAAUGAUUAAGAUAGCUUUCCUUGACUGUUAAGUAGGGUCCGGUCUUGCUCUCUAUCCAAGUGAGAUGCUUUGACAUUGCUUUCAGUAAAAUGAAAAUGCAGUUACUGUUGGAUGUAAUGGCUGCCUGGCACGUGCCACUGCUCUGCGUCAGCACAGUGUGAGCACAGCAAGACUGUAACUGGGCUUUGGCAUGAGAGUUAAUGUUCGUUCUGUGCAGAAAUGUCUUUAAUUUAGAUAGAGUCUAGCCCUUGUAUGCUGUGUCUAGGAGUGACCUAUGACAGAUGUCAAGGGAACAGUUCAAAAAAGCAGCAAAAAUAUAUUGUGACAUCUUCCUGUGGAAUUUGCAUGUAACCUUAUCCUGAUGGGAAGACUGAGGAUGUAUUCUCUUAACUUUUGUUUCCCAUGUUCAGAUGGGCUCCUUGGGUGAAGAUCUCUGUUGUGCUGUAAUACCACAGUUUCUUUGCAAGCCUUUGAAGAGCAGCUUUGCAAAACCAGUUGUGGAGCUCCAGGUGGACUCAUCACCUGGUUCUUGUCGUCUUGCUUUAGAAAACUUGACACUCUUUGACACCCACUAAGACUGUGAAUGGAAGGCUGUCCUAUUUUGUUGCACCAUGCUGUUAGUUGGCCAUCUGGCAACUCGUGCCAAAGUAACAGACACCAGUGCUAAUUUUUUUCCCCAUUCUUAGUUUCUUUAUCAAUGGAUCUCAAUUCCAGCUGUGCAUGGUAUGGCGUAACAGUUAUGGUCCUUCAAGAUGACAAACAACUGCUCAGAUGAAACCCAGCAUAAAAAGCUGUGGUGUGCUGAAAGUUCAGAGCUAAAGUAACACAGAUCUUAAAACUGCUCUAGUGUGUAAACACUGUUUUACAACAAUUUUUAAUAUGUAAAAUGAUGCAUAAUGAAGAUGAUGAAUCAAUCAGAUUAUAGCAGUGAGUGUACGAUGACAGCAUAAACUGGAGAAUGGCAGCAGCUUCUGGUUGUACUCCUUAUCCUUGGCCUGCCAACAUUUUUUAUCAUAAAUCUGUUCAUCACUGGGCCAUAGAACCUUACUUCAAGCUGAAAAGUAGCAGGAUAUGCUAUAGUUCAAUAUAUUGCUUCUUACAAAUUACUCAUGUAUUUUUGUAUGAUGGAAAUUGCAGCAUUUUAAAAAGCUUACCGAUUUCCUUGCCCUCCUGUAACGUACCAACUUUGGGCUGCAUUUGUGUUCCCUGUAAGUCUGUGUGCUCAGCCCUUUUUAAAGAAGUUUGCUGUCUUCUGGACUUCACCAAAUUCCUUUUACAGUAAGUGAAGUUUUAUACGUGCAGGCAUGACUUAGAAAAUACACCUUCAUACCUUCUGUAGUGUGGUGGAUGCUGAACCAUCCAUAGGAAGCCAAUGAGACACAGUUUGGGGAUUUUUGUUUUUGAAAAAGACUGGAGAUGUACAGAUAGUAACUAUUCACAAAAGCUAGAGAAGGAAUAUUUACAAGCAUUAGUUCUACUCUGUUGGAAGUUAGGCGAUCCAAUAUCAGUUUAUCCUACUUUGCUUCUUCAGAUUCUUAAUACUUCACCUGAUCUGUUUUGCAUUGAGCAGUCUUUCAGGCAGGAGAAAUAAACAUGGAGCACAACGCCAUCUCGCAACUCCUGCUGGAUACUGUAAGUAGAUCACUGUAAUCUACUUUGAAACGAUCUAUUCUUAACAGUAACAUCACAAUCUAAACAUGUAGCAUGUAAUGGAAAAACUAAAAGCUUACUUUAUGAUAAGAUCUUUUUAUUAUAUCACUAAUAAAAUAACAGGUUGUGGCAUCACAGCACCUACUGAGAUCUGCACCAUCUCUUGCAGUCAUAUUAGAAAUGAUCUGUACAUCAAUUUGAUGGAGUUCAUCAAUUCAAGUAAUACACGUUGGAUACAUGCCCCAGUACACAUGCUGAAAGGGAUGUGCAAAUUACUAUCAGUUCAGAACCCAUUCUGCUCUUUGUAGAAUUUUGUGAAAUGAAGUGGAAGGGAUAAAACAUAAUCACUGAAUGAGGGAGAGUUAGAGAUCAGCUGGCGAGAGAUGGGUUACAAGUAAUUGGCAGAAGCAGAGAUUUGUAUUAAUUUUGUGUGGUGAAUGAUGUAUACCAGGAAGAGCACUAAAAGAAAAGUUCCAAGGCAAAAUAGGUUGUACUUUCUUUCUUACCUUGUGAUGGGGGGAGUGCUGCAGCAAGGAAGGGAGCUGUUGGAGAGGGUCCAGAAAAGGGCCACAAAGAUGGUCAGAGGUCGGGAGCACCUCCCCUAUGAGGACAGGCUGAGGCAGCUGGGCUUGUUCAGCCUGGAGAAGAGAAGGCUGCAGGGUGACCUCACAGCAGCCUUUCAGUACCUAAAGGGAGCCUAUAAACAGGAGGGGAGUCAACUCUUUGAAAGGAUACAUACUGGCAGAACAAGGGGGAAAUGGUUUUAAGUUGAAGGAAGAAAGAUUUAGGUUGGAUAUCAGGGGGAAGUUCUUUACAGAGUGGUGAGGUGCUGGAACAGCUGCCCAGAGAGGCUGUGGAUGCCCCAUCCCUGGAGGUGUUCAAGGCCAGGUUGGAUGGAGCCCUGGGCAGCCUGGUCUAGUAUUAAAUGCGGAGGUUGGUGGCCCUGCCUGCAGUGGGGGGGUUGGAGCUUGAUGAUCUUUGAGGACCCUUCCAACCCAAGCCAUUCUAUGAAGGAGAGUGGUUCUCUUAUGUCUACACAGCAUUACAGAGGCAACACUGUUCUACCUGACAAGGCGCUUCACUGCAAUUUGUCCCUAGAGAACUGGGGCAUCUGUUGGGCAGCUGCAGCUGUUGCUAUGACAUUUUGGAAAGAGGAAGCCAUAACAUGUCAUAACUGAGUUCAAAUGAUACUGAGUUUGGUCCCAAUUCCAUAUAUUGCCUCUGAGGUUGAGCUCAUUGGGUUUAGAGGCUUCAGUGCCUUUGUUCUAGCUUUACUAUUUGUCCAAUGAGAGACCCCUUUGUCAGUAUGUUUCAUGCAAUAAUUUCUUCAACAUAAUCAACAAGACAUGUUAGAGAUUUUAUAUUUGUGAGGCAAAAGGAAAAAUAAUAGCACAAAUGAAAUUUCCUUUAUUCACAAGCCAAAUGUAACCCAGUAAGACUCAGUGUGUGCUUCCACAUACAGAACUGGCAUCGUCCACUCCUUGUGUUUGCCAGGCUUGUGUCUGUCACACAGAUUCUGCCAGGUGUAACUUUGCUGCUCUCAGGGAGACACAAAUCCUUCCACAUCCCAGCUUCAAUGCAGUCCAGGAUCUCUGAGAUCAGUGGUGGUCUUGGAACAGUGGAAGGCAUGGAUCAUACAGGUGCGACCUUACCAUCUUUUUGCCUGGUACUGCAGCACACUGUAACACAGCUUCCUGGUUUUAGAAAUUUGGUCAUGUUGUUGCCUGGUCUGCAGGUUGUUGCCUCAGGAAGGCUGCUCCUUCAGCCUCCUGCAGGACCACAACAGGCAAAACGAAAUACAACCCCUCAGCUGUAGUUGGUCUCUUCUGCAGCGAGAACAUGGUGCGGUAAACUGACUUCUUUGGGAUGAACUCUGCCUUCCUUUUCCCCACCUCUGGAUUAAAAUAGAGCAGUUUGAUAGCACAGCAGCAAAUUCACAUUAAUAUCAAACAGAAUUUUCACUACCGUUUUCAUAUUAACACGAGAUGCCAGAAUGUGAAGUUAUCUGGAUCUGCACAUGGGACCAUUCUUGCUGUUAAAGGCUUUAGGCUGGAAGGGAGCCCAAAGUUUUUAAAAGAAAUGCAAUGUUUCCUGAUCGAAUAUUAAUUACAUGCUAUACGGAAUCAUAUUUUUCAAAUAAAUUUUAUAAAUAAAAAGCUAGGCCUUUCAAACCAUCAGCAGUAUUAAUUUUGGAUUUGAAAGAUUAUGAAAGAUCAACGACCACAGAACUGUGAAUUAGAAAAAUACUGGCCUAGGUUGCAUAAAAACCUCCAUUAAAUAAAUACCAUCAGUUUUCACUAUGAAAAGUCAGUGGUGCUGUACUUUAAAAAACCAUAAUGAAUUACCCAUCCUGUAAUGAUACCGAGUUGCUUUUCACAAAUCACACACACGUACAGGAAGUCAGAUGGCCAGAAAGGCGAUAUAGCGGAUUAACACACAGUUCAACAGAAAGUGCUCUCUAUAUACCCCUCCAUCGGAACUUCCUGACUUGUUGCAGUUAUCAGCUGCAAAUCCCGUUACCCUUUUGCUGUCAGUUGCCUUGCUGUCCCAGAAGGUCCAACCCCCUGAUGGCUGAUACAGUCGGUGAUUGCGGUUGCAGUCUUUUGCAUUCAUCCCUCAGACCGCUGCUUUCAUCUCGGGGUGAUUUACAGUAAGUGGUUCUGGUUUCCAGUCUGGUUGGAAGAAGUGAAUGUUGAAUGUCCGCGCCCAGUUCUCAAACACUCGUUUCUCUGUGAUGAACCGAUGAUGGCUGCCCUUUCGUCCCCGCUCGUGUGAAAUGUACAUUGUGCAUUCAUCAGGUCCCAAAGGUUCAUAAUAAUGAUAAGGUACUGAAAGAUGAUUAGGAUCCCUGCGGGAGAAAAAAAAAAUAGAUGGAAGCCCCAGAUGUUCUAUUUUACUGAUUGAAAAGAUGUUAUCUUUAAUAAGCUGAUGGGCUCAAAUCCACUUUUACUCCCAGUUAAACCGCAUUUUCAGGUAUCUGCAUUUUUCCUGAAUAUUUAACACAUCAGAACGUGGCAAAGGUUUUUUUCUUUGCUCCUUUCUUUAAUCUCCUCCUCUCAGUUAAAUAAAGGACAGCAGUAGCUCAGAAAUAAGGGAGAGCGCUGCAGGGCUGUGCUACUACUCUGAAAUUUGAAGCAAACUGCUUAGGAGAUUUAUAUCUAGAUAGUGAUUUGUAAAAAGCUUUGCAGAGGUAUUUACUGGAAUAGGGGAAGAAAGGGAAAAGAAAGAUAGAGGGGCAGUGGUUAUCUGUGUCACAGCAGCUCAGCUGAACGCUCCCAGCACGGUGCACACGGGUGUGAGCGCACAACUUCAGUGAGCACAUCUGCACGCCAGGUCAGCGAUACGGCCCGGCUGCUGCUGGCUUUACGAUCAAAGAUGUAAUGCAUGAGUGAGUUGUUUGGUAUUUUAAAAUGGCAACUUUCACGUACGUAUGUGAGCUGAAAAUUCAGGCCGUUCACACUGACCUUGUGAGCCCAUCAGCAUUAACCAGCAGCUACUGGUGACACAUAGGAUAUGCCAAAGACACAUUAAAUAUUUAGGGUAGAGACCAUUUUAACAGUUUUAAUGUCAGUGUUUUGAUGCUGCAUUCUGUAAGAGACACAUGUAUUGUGUUCAUAAUGUAAUAAGCCACAGUGGUUCACUCUCCUUUUAUUCUCUACAUUAAACUAUACCCAUUAUGCCUUUUUUUGCUUUGAGCACAGUCUGACAAGAGCUCAUACAGCUCUCCCCGUCCUGAAUUCAAGGAGAGAUAAUUGUCCUAGACAGAAUAACCCAACUGUACAGUGCUCCUCAGUUAAAACCAACACACUAUUUUGUAGUGGCAGCAAAAGUAGCCCAAAGUUGAUUGAUUGAAAUACUGCCAUUUAGUAAAGCCUUGGAACUGCUCUAUAUGAAAUCCUGAGCCGAGUAAGGAUUGCAUGACAGAGCAAGAAAGCUCACGCAGAUUCAGAGCUGUCAGCUCUAAUAUCGAGUUGAUUAUUUUCAUUUUGAAGAGCUAAUAUUUAAGCUCAAAUUCAAUUGAAUGCAUCCACAAUCUGUCACUAUUCUGUCUUGGUCAUUAUUUUUACUGUGUAAUUCUGUCACCUACGCAAUUCUCUAAUUCUUCUUAUUUUACCAUUAUCCAUAUUGUAUACGCAGAGGUAAUGUAUGAUAUUACUGCUGCUUUCCAUUUGUACUGUAGAUUAACGUUUUAAUUCAAUCAGUUUAGCUUCCCAGUAACACAACAGGGUGAUCAAUCUUCCCACACCAGAAUAACAAUAAUACUGCGUUUCCAGAAUGAGAUGGAUUCUGAAUGUACUGUACAUAUUCUCACUGGAAUACAUAAGAGAGUAAAAAGAAAUCUUUUAAUUUCUCACCUGCAGAAGAUGUAUUUUUAAUGUAUAAAAUACCCUUCCCUCUACAUUCUUUCUGGGUACAACUGUUAGAUCUCAAUCUUCAAUUACGUUUUCAUAUAUAUAUAUAUAUAUUUUUUUUUUUUUAAGACAUUGGACCUUUUAUUACAAUCUCUAAAAUGAAUCAUUUCUAUCAUUGCUGUAAAUGUAACAGGAUACAUUUCUGUUUUCUUACAGCUACUGAUCGCACAGACCCCUGCCUCUCAUUUGGACUUCUUUUCUUCACUCUAGAUGGAUUUUCCUCCUGUGUUCUCGAGGGUAAACCUAUAUUGCUUGGUGGAAAUUCACUGCUUUAAAAUUAUAAUUAGUAAAGUGGAAAUCUUAUCUCCAGCAGUCUUUGAAUAAAUGCAGUCACAGAGGAACUAAGUUAACUGCUCAGGCCCAGUACUGCACCGUGAGCCAGUCAGGCUGCUGUGCUGAUAGCAGAUCUGGUUAGCAUCCUCCUGCCUUGUUUUCUUUUGAAGUUUUGAGGCUUAAAAGUCCAAAUGUGUUUUAGGUUUAGGAACACCGAAAGGCAGUCAGAUACCUCCUGCUUCUUGUCUGAAGCCUUUUUCCUUUUGCGGCAGUUCUGGGAUCCCCCAGAUGUCAUGCUAGUAAGGUUUGGAUUGGAAUUCUGGCCUGAGUAACUACAGCAUAACUGAAAUUAACUGUACUGUGUUAUCUUCUAACUCUGCAAUUAGCUUGUGUCACCAGCAAAUGAAAUGCAUGAGUAAUUCCUAUGCGGAAAUUGCUUGCCACCUCAUUUAUUAACAUUAAAACAGAUGCUGUUUUAUCACUGACUGAUACUGGACAUUAAUCAGUAUUUUGUCAGGCUUCGCAUGCAUAUUAAUAUCACAGCUGGAAGGAAUCUAGGGAAGAUCCUUUGUAAAAUAUACUCUACUUCCUGCCUAAUCGCCUGCCAGCGCAGCAACAGCGUAACUGCUUGUACCCAAUGUCACUCAUCCACUGUUUGCCACUUCAGUGCACAUUUUCCCACAGAUGGUAUCCACCCACAGCGAAAGCUGAAAAUACAGCAAGCAGUGUUUGCCUCAAAGGAAACGAGACAGAAAAACACGGCCAUCCCAUCCCAUCUUCUGGUCAACCUCUCCCUUUACAAACAGGGCUGUUAUAAAGCAACCCACUGAAACUACAGAUGCUGCUGAGCAGCCACAAAGAAAAGCAGCAGCACCGCAGCUCCUGCAGGAGUUGUGGUGCUGUCUGCACACUGCAAUCUGGCUGCUGGUGUGGGGAAGCAAGAGGAAAAUCCUUGAUUUCCAUCCUAGGCAGAAGUGAGUCCUUGCGUGUGCGCAUGGCAGACUGCUUAAGGCUGCUCAGAGAGGGCAGUGCUUCCUACCUGGGCUGCCAGUUUGCUAGGCUGGGACUGGAUCCCUGGACUAACAAAUACAGCAAGAUGACUUGUUUUGUGAGAGGAAAGGGAGAGAUGCACGCUCUCUCCAAAAAGCUCUGUAACGUGCAUGCAAGCACAGGCUUUCAUCUUAUUCCAGAAUGUGCAAGACAGACGUAUCUAACAGCAUGAAAGCAAUAUCAAAGCCAUUAACCCUUAGCGCAGCAGAGAUCUGAAGCCAAGCAAAAGGCAUUUGGUAUUACAUAUAGCUUUGCUCUGUGCUACCACAAAUUUGUAAUAAUCAGGUCGCCAAUUCCAGUUAAACUCUAAAAUCAAUGUCCAGUGAAAGUAAAUAGAAAUGAAUCUGAAACAUGUUGUUGCAAUUAAUAGUAGCAAAUCUUUUUAGUCAGUAGUGCAGACUGCUUCACUGGACUAUUUUUCCUGCAUGGGUAGGAAGCAAUUUGGUUAAUGAUCUUAAGCUAAUAAUUUGUGGCAGAAUCAACUGUAUAAUGUUCGUGAUACCUUUGAGGUGUCCUUCAUGUUACGGCUGCGAUACUAAUUUAGUUCCAUGACAGUGAUCACCCACACUCAUUACUUACUCCACAGAUUAAUACUUAACAAAUAAUGAGUAUCUGCUGGAGUUGUACAUUUGGUGAUAUUCAAUUUGACUAGUAUUAAGAAUAUAUAUAUUUUUUUAAUCUUAAUGAACCCCUGGUUGCACAGCAAGUAAAAUACACUUACACCUGUAGCACCUCAUGCAGACACGAGAGGUAGGGUGGGUUGUGUUCGUUUCUCUUAGUUCUGUGAAAUGGUAGUUUUGUUUUUUAUCCGACUGGAAGCCAGAGAAAUCGGCCUUAAAUUACAUCUGUUUACAGCACGUUUCUUUGUUUUACAAUUUUCUAUUUUGUUCUCUUAUUUCUCUGAAAGGAUGCACUGUUUAAAUUAAUGAGUGGCUGAAGAGCAAAGUAAGUUUGACUUCAUUUAUGGCAGCCGGUCCAUUUCACAGGUCCCAAUGGCUAGCUUCUGGUAGGAAUGGAACUACACUUUUCCCCUUCAUAGUUUGUUAAAUAUACCUUAAAAGACAUUUUAUAUUGUUUUGGUUAAGAAAUGACCUUCUUCCACUUCUAUGGCCAGAUAAGUGCAUCUUUGUUGUCCAAGCUGUAAGCAUUAUUACAUUUACUGACAGCAGGAUUUAUGAUAGCUUUUUUUUUGUGUGUUAUAAUUUAAUAUUAUAUCCAUUUGAUUUCAGUCUGUCAUUUCUGUGAAAGCCUUUCAUAUGGUCUCAGUUACCAUUAUACCCUCUCAAUAUUUUUGUAUGUUUUUUGCUAAUUUUGUGGGGGGUUUUUUGUUUGUUGUAAAUAUACGUACAUAAGCUUAUCUGACUUUGACAAGGAACCUGGCCUGAAAAAUUAGGAUUGAGCAUUGCUAUCUUCUGCAUUUCAUAUAAUCAUAGAAUGACUGAGGUUGGAAGGGACGUUAGAGAUCAUCCAGUUCCAACCUGCUGGAUUCUCCUCUGGAUGCCUCCCCCCCGCAUCUCCAGGGAUGGGGCACCCGCAGCUCUCUGAGCAGCUGUGCCAGGGCUUCACUGCCCUCUGAGUAAAGAUUUUCUUUCUAACAUCUGACCUAAAUCCCCCCUCUUUUACUUUAAUGCUAUUCGCUCUUGUUCUGUCUCUAUCGGACUGUGUAAAAAGUCUGUCUCCCACCUGCUUGUAUGCUCCCUUCAAGCACUGGAAGGCCACAGCGAGGUCUCCCUUGAGCCUCCUCUUCUCCAAGCUGAACAAGCCCAUCUCCCUCAACCUUUCUUCGCAAGAGAGAUGCUCCAGGCCUCUGAGUUUCUUUGUGGCCUCCUCUGGACCUGCUCCAACAGUCUGCUUUCCUCCUGUGCUGGGGGCCCCAGGCUGGACACGGUGAUCCAGAUGGGGCCUCACAAGGGCAGAGCAGAGGGGGGCAGUCCCUUCUCUUUCCCUGCUGCCCCCCCUCAGUUGAUGCAGCCCAGGGUACAGCUGGCCUUCUGGGCUGCAGGAGCACACUGCUGGCUCAUGUCCAGCUUCCUGUCCAUCAGUACCCCGAAGCCUGCCCCUCUCCACUGGAUUUUUAGAUGAGAAAGACAGACCAGCCACUUACAGUGAUGACAGGGACAUAACCGUUUCAGAACAGGAACUGAAGAAAUGCGUCUUUGCCAACUGAAAUGACAAGGGAACGAGAUGCUGUGCUAGGGAAGGUAUUUAUGUUGCCUGAAAUAUCUGAUCUAGUUUGUUGUUUUCCUUGGAGAAUUCAUGAUGAAAUCUGGCAGUACAUCACAGCAUUUAUCAUUGGAGUUUUGUUAUAAUUUGUAAAAAAUUCUCACAAAGUGGGAUUUAAUGUUGACAUUUUAUACUGUAAUUUCUUCAGGGAUUCUUACUGUUUUGUGCCCAGGAUAAAUGCAGAUUUUUGAAUGAUCCUUUUUAGUGCUCACAAGAAAGUCAAAGCAGUCCUAUUCUCUGUGACAGAUGAGCUAACCUGUCACUGCAGCGUUGCUCCCCAUGCCCCUGAAAUGUAUCUUGUAUUGGCCAAGGAAGCAGACUUCAGUCAGAUCACUAAAUUUGCAACAGAAAAUUCAGGCAAGUUGCUCUUAGUGAGAGGGAUUCAGGAGCAGGGAAUGAAACAUUUCGUACUGUGCAUACCAGCUCUGUGCAUCACUGGAUCACCUGGCAGUGCAAAUGGAUCAGGACGAGGUGUGCCCACGUAAGCACGGUUUUCAGAAUGUCUGAGUGCAAAGUGGGGCUACGGGCAGACCGAUGGUGCUUAACAGCAUAAAAAGACCGCUGAUGUAAAACACAUUUGCAAGAGUUUAUACCACAACUGUAAGCCUUGAAGUCAGUUUCCCAGUACCAUGGGUCCACCACAGGAAACCCUAACCAACACCUCAGGUCUGAGGCCUGUAUAGCACUGGGGCAUCACAGAGCUGUGAAAUGGACCCAAGCUGUUAUUUUAUGAACCAACAUCAAUACGUCACGCAGCUUCCACUGAGAGAAUUUGUGUGCUGUUUCUUCCACGUGUACCCCACGCCCUGCAGGACCAAAGUGGGUGAAUACAGGACUGACUGUAACUAGUCUGCACAUCCAAAUAUUGUGGGGUUCUUGGUGGGGAUUAUGUAGGUUAUUUAGGAAACCAGUUUACUGGAAUACUGGUAUUUAUGUGACAGCAGUACUAUAUUCAGUUGCAUAGGAAGUUAAUUUAGAAGCUAGUCACUGAAAGAACUGCUUUUCUCUAUUAAUCGUGGGGGCAACCUUUAAAAACAAAUUCAAAGUAACAUUUUCCAGUGCUUCCUUCUUUUCAGAUUAAUUUCAUGCCAAUUACUGCAUUACUUUUAGCUGAUAAAUAUUCAGGGACUAAAAGAAACCAACAACAUAGAUUAAUUCUCCCACACUACAAACAAAAAUUUUUAAUAUUUUAUAUGACAUAAUUAAAUGCUGUUUGUUGCUUUCAGAAUCAGAUCUUGGGACAUGUUAAUUAAUUGCUUUAAGAGGAUGGAAGACGUUUCAGAGAGAAAAUUCAAGAUUCAGAUAUUUAUCUGUAAUGUUCAACCUCGUUGGCUAAUAAUGGUUUCAAAAUAAAUCCUACCUGCAGAAAUCCGGUGGCACCAUGCCAUAAACAUUUAUCCUGUCACACAGCUCUAAGGCGAUAGUCAUUGUGAACCAGCCCGUGCUAAGCCAAGUGUUGGAUAUCUUCCUGAAAGCAAAAACAUAAUUAAGUUUCCAGUCUGACAAAUAAUUCUUGAAGUAGCUGAAAUAAUUUCUGGGCAUUUUUUUUUCAUUUCUAAGAGGCUAUAAAUUAUUAUUUUUUUUGUUUGUUUUUAUGAGAGGUUAUGAAAAUUGAGCAACCAAGAUGACUUUGCUCAUUCAUCUUUUAACAGUUUUUACUAAUGUCUUCUGUCAGUCGACUAAUCUAUGCAGAAACUACCCUGUCUGUAAUUAAUUUUGGGCAUAGCAGUGUUAACAUUUAGCCGACCUUUUGGCAAGUUUAACUUGAGUGAGUGAAACUUCAUGCCCUGUAUAUACAUACUCCUGCUAGUAAUAUGCUGGAUAAACGCCACCCAUCUGUAAUCACUUAAUGGAACUUGUACACUAAAAUUGUCAAUAAGACACAUCAUGGGGAAGAGGGCUGCUUAAAAUGCAACCUCCCACAGCAUACAAAGGAGCGUGUCUGGUAGAGAAAGAGAUGGGUCUCAUCAUCUGCCUUCACACCUUGGUCCACAAUCUAGAAGCUCUCAGCCGCACCCUGUGACUGCUGGUAGGAAGCUCGGUUAGAUGCAGCCACUUGGGAAGCUCUCCCCUGGACCCCAACCCUCUGCAUGCCCUGAGUCCCUUUCCUGCCUGGUGGCACCUUUGAAUAUGACCAAAGAGUGCUGCAAGGGCACCCUGCGUGGCUGCUCCUUUCCUGGCCUUCUCCAUAGGAUGGCAGAAGACUUCAAAGAAGCCCAACUGAUCCCAGCAUUAUUUAUGCAGAAUUAGUAGACAUCACCCUGUGACCUCUCGCAGAUUUAAGAUUUAAAACCUACGCUUAAAAUUGUGCUCUGUCACAAAAUUUUACCUACAAAUUGGCAACAGUAGUGUUUUUUUCUUUCUAGCACUUGCUUGUCACUGCUGCUUAGUGGUUAAGAGCUGGCUACUGUAAUGGUUACUGGUUGCCUGGCACAUGGGCUGGAAGCCCCAGUUGUGUCAAGCUCAUGCACUGUGCCUGGGAACAGCUGGCUGUCUUGGAACAGAAGCACCAAGAGAUGCUGGUGAGAAGCAAGUCUUAAAGGUAUAACUGUGUAUUCAGGACAGCCAUGCAAGACCAAGUCAGGCACUGAUCUUGGAAGGAGGGACCCAAAACAACAACAGCCACUACAAGCAAGUGCUGUCAUCACUGAUACAGAAAUUCAGCAAAGAAGGGCACACUUUGCAGCUUCCCAAAUGAGUGCUAAGUGGGCUCCAAGUAGGUCAUCUGCAGGACAGUAAGACAGAUGUCCUGAAUGCUGUUAGACUGAGGAAUGCCUGGUACUGAGGUCUCCCAUUUCCUCAGUGAACAGUGAGUUAGACUACUGCAAGGUAAGCAGCAACAACAAAGUGGUAUAGAGGAUGCUGGGGAGCCUCAGUGAUCUGCCCCGUCUUUCAUCAGUUACAUGGUAACGUACAAGAUCCCAAAACAUGUAUUUACUACUUCGAACGUACAGUCAGGGCUAAGCUAGCACUUGGAGAUUAACUGAUCUACACAUCUCAUUAGUUCCACUUAGGGGCCUUAUUUCUUAUCUGGAUUUCCACUUAGGCUUUGGGUGGGGGGGGAGGGCAUAAUUUAUCACAAUGUAGUAGCUGGGUCAUAAGCUCAGCAGAGGCCUUCAGGCAUAGCAAGAAAACAGCAAAUAAUUUCUGGCUUAAAAUUAUUAGGGAAAGGAAAGGCAGAAUAAAGACCCAAACAAUUGCUUUCCUGCCUCUGACUCACUAGGUAAUUUAGGAACGUGCUUGGGCUUAGAGUGGUCCAUGCCUAAAACCUUGCAUCCAAAACCAAGAGAGCAACUGUGCUUAGACCAUGACCUGGGUUCUGCACACGGCAGGGAACCGAGCGGGGCGGUCUGCUGGGUUACUUUCCUUUUUGCUUACACACACUUAGUUUGCAAUUCAGUGUUUUCAGUAAAUCAGAGAACUGACUUGGAAUAAACGAGCUUAAAAGCCAGACAAUGGAAUAAAGAUUUCAAAACUUAUUCAAGUACCGCUCUGGCCUCUUUCAAUACCGUGUCUGUAGGACAGCACUGCAGAAACAGGGUUACAACGUUUUGCCUUUUCAUAAAAGAUCUGAACAAAACUCUAACAAAAGAAUCCUGUUUUUAUACCUAAUCAGCUGUAAUGAAAGAAUAUGAAGAACUGUCAUGUGCUUAUUAGGGAAAAUUAUCAGAUAUUCUUUUAUACUAUGAACUAACACACUGUGCUGAUAAUUCUGUAGUGCACACUAAAUUACAAUUAAAGGCCUUUCUGCUCCACCAAAAUCUCAUUUAUAAUCUCUAUGGAAAUACUCUUCCUGCAGUUAUUUCAUUUAUGCUUCCUUUAUCUAAUUACUAUAAUAUUGGUUCUGAAUCAUAUUUUCUUAAUGUACCCUUAUUCAAUUAUAAAGUUAUUUUCAAGUACAGUUACUUUAUAAUACCAAGGAUACUGCUCUGUAGCCUUUGUCAUUCACCACACUAUUUAACUGACAGCGUUUUCUGAAGGUUUUCCUUCAUUUCAGAAUCAGCUUUUUUUUUUGUAAAUCACAAUGCAUCCAAUUACCUUUUUCUUCAUCAUUUCCAAGACAAAGAAAUGGUUUGAUUACUGCAACCUUGCAGUCACACUUCUCUCCUUCCUUUGUUUUUUUUUGCAGGCAUUAAUAUCGAGAGCUCAGCAGAAACCUCCCAGGGAACGGCAUCACUCCAGGCCAUACAAUGCACUGCUUCUGCCCCCACAGCUACAUAAAUGUUCCUCCCUUACAAUGUCUGCCCGUGUUUCUUUUCAUCUUUCCUCUCUUUUUUCCAUGCUGCCUAUUCAUUUGUUUUCAUCUCCUGUUUUAAUCUUUUAGUCCUUCACGUGUGCUGCAUGUGCCCUACAAAGCAGUGGUUCCUGCAAAGCCUGCAGCUGCUGAAAUGCAAUAGGACCCAUACAAUGAACGAGGCUGUGUUCUGCUAGGAUCCAUGUGCCACUGAUUCAUGCUGGGUGCCUAUGACGGACCCCACUACAAAGCUGUUCUAAUGUUAUUAAUGUCUCAGACUCCUUGAGAAUAUUUUGGGAGCCAAGACUGGGCCUGGUGUCUGUGCAGAAAAAGAAAUGCUUUCACCCCAUGCAUGGCUGUUGGCCUCCAGCUCCAAAUGGGUAAUCCAGAGUUAGAAAGCAGCAGUUUGCCUCUGAUUGCACUGCAGCUGUCCAGAAAGAAAUGGACCUGAGCUCCUCAUGGACUGAAAGACUGGAGGUGAGCUGGUCCUCAGAAAUGGGGAUUUCAAAUGGUCCUACCCUGAAAAGAGUAAUCUGGGGCAGGAUGCAGCAACGUGCAGGGCUGACUGUUAGGGCUGAUGGUGGCCCACGCUAUUGCUCUGCUACAACUCUUUGAACUUUCAUGCUGCUGUAAACACUGGGCAUACUAAUAAUCCUUUGCACUUUUCCUAAAAGGGUCAAAUGUUUAUUUAAUUAAUAACAUUAUAACCUCCUUGCUUUGCUCCAUUCUGUGUGAACAAAUCUGGAAAAGACUGUACCACAGCUGACCUGGGAGGGUACCCUCCUUGUUAUCCUUCCCUCUCGUUCUGCAAGAAGCAGAGUCUGGCAGAGAAUCACAAGCACUGUUCUGAGGAUGAAGAGGAAGGGACCUUUAAUGGUCAGAAACUGAACAGGUAACUGUGUGGGCUGGUGUUAGUGUGAGUCAGUCAAGUAGGGAGAUGCUUAGUUUGAUCCACGGUAACAGAACUCUGAAAGAAAAGCAGACGGGGUACAAUGGACACCAAGCUAAGAUGCAGUCACCCCCAGCUACUAGGAUACAACAACUUCCCAGCCACUGGCUCUGCCCAAAACACAAAUCUGGUGCUCAAGUCUUCUGUCUGCGUAGGACCAAGCCCAGCUUCAGGCUGUGCUGCAUAUGUACACUAUUGGUAAAACUAGAGAAUCUCACCAUGAGUUACUGUGCAAUGGAAGCCACCUCUUCAUUUGAACCUCAGUAGAGACCCUGUUUGAUUUUUUACAGCUACAUAUUUAAUAUUUAAAAAACAGGAAUUCAUUAAAAAUAAAUGUGUUUCUCUCUAGGAAGUCUUUGGCUUAAAUGCCCAUUUUUCAAACACUGUAUGUGAAAAUGCUCAAGUCCUGCAGUGGGUCACCUAUUAAAAUUCUGAUUUGAAGAUGAGCCUACAAGUCAUAAACAGUCUCAUAAAGAUGUAACUAUCAUAACUUUCCUUUUCCCAGUUGGAACUGUAAGGCAAAUGCUUCUGAAGCACCUAAUGUAUGACUAAUGUUUGUUUGUUUUACAUGAAGUUUUACAGCUGCAGUGUUCCAAGAAUGCUUAAAUUCAAUAAACAGCUAUUAUAAUUCACAGAAUGGUGGCAUUUCCUCUGUAAGGAAACAUAACCUAUCCAUUCUGAUUUUUCAGAAUCAGUAAAAAACUUUCAGGUAUAUAACCUCAGAAGUGAGAUUUAAACAGCUCCUACCUCCUUGGCUGUAUAAACAGUACAGCCAGAUGCUGGCAUUCCAAAUUGAUGAGGCAAUACUCCAUACCAAUUAUUUACAGGCAUACUUUUUACUUACGUUGCAAGUGAUGUUAUUUGGCGUAUUAUACUGUAUCACAACUCACGCAGUGGAGGAUUUAAUGGGUGUGAUGGUCCCUCUGAGCAGACCUCAAAUUGGUACAUAUAAACUACAUUAUUUUACUACUGUAUGACUUCCCCCAAAUGUAUCCCCGUAAAUUUUCUCACCUGUCUUUCCCAGUUUCCCGUUUAAAAAGGUCAUCAAAUUGAAGCAUCUUGUGGCGAGAAAUCAUGUAUGCUUUUAAUUGAGGCAGUAUCUGAUUCAUCAGCUGCAGGUUGUUGUACACCAAGCCUUUACCAUCUCUCCUCAUGUAGCUGCUAGGACCCCAGAAGAUGAACACAGCACCGUGGCUCAUAUUUAAGAGUUCAUUGCGAUUUCGCAAAAUCCUCUGAAUGCUGGAGUGUGCAAUGACUCGAAGGCUUGUUUUGUUCCCAACAUCCUGUCCAUAACCUCGAGUAGGUGCAUCAUUCAUUCGUAUUACGCACUCCGUCUCGUCGAUUCUGUCACCUUGUUUACUUCCCAGAAGGUGUCCAGAACUGGUUACCAAUGCACAGCUCUUGCAGUGCAUUUUUAAAGGCUGCAAAAGACAUACAUAUUUCAGACUCAGCUGUGAACACCUCCCCAUGCACCAGGUAUAACUCAUAUUUUACAUAUAUAUUGCAUAUUUUACAGCAAAAAACUCAGGAUUUUGCAUAAAUCUCUCUCAGCAUUCUUCCCAAAUAACUGGGGAUAUAUUACCGAUACCUUUUAUAGAUAGGGAAAAUGUGUGUAGCCCUUAAAAUUCCUCCAUGGAGUUGAAUCCGCUGUUUAAAUCCUCCUUCCCACUGCGGUUUAGUAACCUUCAUAUUCAGUAAUCACAACAGUUGCAGCUGUGCAGUUCACAGCUGCACAGCAUUGUUCUUCUUCCGCCUGUUACAGAAGAGUUAUAAUUGGAGUAUUUCUGAUUCCCCCUCUUCCAAUUUCUGCAGGAACUGAUCAUUUUUUAAGUCUCCACAAGCACAAGCAUGAGUAGUUUUUCAACCUUGGGGUCAGGACAUUGUCCACAGGGAAGAGAAUUGUAUCUUGGUCUAAUCCUGCUACACCAUUUCCAAGGCAGUGCCAUGACCAUGGCAGUGCUCCCAUGCCUCUGCUGUGGUUCAGAAGUCAGAGCUGCUCGUUAACACCUGCAUAUCUUUUACAUGACAGCCAGUUAGAGCACUGAACUUCUUCUAGCUUGUCAGGUCAUGCUUAAAAGUUGCACAAUAAAAUGAAAUGGGCAGUGCCUGUUCAGUCAGUGCCUGACCUAAUAGAGCUAGGAGAGUAAAACAAGCUUUCACGAAAAUGAAAAUGCUUUGCAAAUCAUUCCACUCAAAUUGUGUCACCAACAUGUAUAUAAACAAGAGGCGUACGUAUGUUCAUCUGCUGCUCACUGUGAGAACUGGAAAGGGGCAAAGGGUGAAGAGCAUCCCCGAAGUGCUGAUUUUCGAGAACAAUAAGGUGAACUGGGAGGUACAGCCUGUUUGAGGGUGUACCUCUCUAUAUACUGCAGUGUCUAAGAUCAGCAACAUUACACUACACUACAGACCAUAGAUGUGUAUCCGGUGUAUCCUACACAGGGAGGAGGAGGCAGUCAGAGCUGCUGUCCUGACAUGGCACGCUGGCCUUCUUCUCCAGAAGAGACCAAAAACACUCCCAAAACGAAACCCAACAAACUGAACUGUGGUUGCCCCCCAGUUUGAGAUUCUGGAGGUAAUAAGAAGUGGUUGCUGCCUGAAUUUGUUUUCUGCGAGAACGGCUAACAAGUAACUGCUUUUUAAAUUAAAACCAAAAAAUAACUAGAUUAUACAAUUUGUCUAAUGACAGAAGCAGAAAGUUUUGUGUCUCCAUCUUCCCCAAACAACAAAAGUCCUUUUUCUCUCACAUAUGUGGACUGCAAUCCAGAGCUAAUGAUAUGAGUAGCAAUGUUCGUGCUUUUGUACUCAAGGUUCC